AACGAACGCUGGCGGCGUGCUUAACACAUGCAAGUCGAACGGCAAGGCCCUGCUUUUGUGGUGUGCUCGAGUGGCGAACGGGUGAGUAACACGUGAGUAACCUGCCCUUGACUUUGGGAUAACUUCAGGAAACUGGGGCUACUACCAGAUAGGAGCUCCUGCAGCAUGGUGGGCGUUGGAACGUUUCGGCUGGUGCGGAUGGACUCGCGGCUUAUGAGCUUGUUGGUGGGGGAGUGGCAUACCAAGGCUGUGAAGGAUAGCCGGCCUGAGAGCGUGACCGGGGACAUGGGGCCUGAGAGACGGAGCAGAGGCGUAUGGGAGGCAGCAGGGGGGAAUAUGGCACAAUGGGCGGAAGCCGGAUGCAGAAACCCUGCGUGCGGGAUGACGUUCUGUGGGUUGUAAAACGCUGUCGCCUGAGACGAAGCGGGAGUGACGGUAACGGGUAAAGAAGCACCGGCUAACUACGUG
rnacentral:rRNA from 1 species